CGGGUCAGUUCCUGUGAGUUCAGUUAGCACCAGCUAACAGCUAGCGCCGAUUCCUCGGAGGUUACCUACGGAGGGGAACCGGACCAGACCCGAGCCGUUCACCAGUCCCGCCCCACAGCCUCCAGCCUGCGCUGCUGUUCUCUCUGACCAGGCUCUGACCCGGUUCUGGCCCGGUUCCGACCCGCUCCUGCGAGGCUCCGGUAGUUACGGUGGGAAGAUGUCUGCGGUUCAGCGGAUGAAGGUGGCCAACGAGCGCCACAGCAAGACAAUCACACAGCGGGGACACGUCCAGAAAACCUCGAGGCCGGUGAACGAGAAAAGUCUCCAGUGGGUCCCUGGCUGCUGGCGCUCUUCGUCUUUGUGGUUUGUGGAUCAGCCAUCUUCCAGAUCAUCCAGAGCAUCCGACAG